CCAAGGAGUCUAACAUGUACGCGAGUCGUUGGGUCGUCCACUGCAGGACUAAACCCGUAUGGCGCAAUGAAAGUAAAGGUCGCGUUAGGCAUCUUUUGCAGUCCGAGCAAAAGUCCUUCCGGCCGAGGCGGGAUCCGCAUUGGUCAAUGGUAAGCUUGGCAGCCAUGCGGCGCACCGCCGGCCCGUCUUUUCCGCACCGUCGGUGAGGCGGAGCCAGAGCGUACACGUUGGGACCCGAAAGAUGGUGAACUAUGCUUGGGCAGGACGAAGCCAGAGGAAACUCUGGUGGAGGUCCGUAGCGAUUCUGACGUGCAAAUCGAUCGUCAGACCUGAGUAUAGGGGCGAAAGACUAAUCGAACCAUCUA
rnacentral:rRNA from 1 species